CCCUGCGUCAGAGGCGGGUUUCUCUUCUGUCUCUCUCUGCUCUCGCCUAAAUCCUUCCUCGGACUCCAACUCCCGCCGUGUCUUGCGCUGAGAUCCCUGCGACAAAGAAUCGGGCUGUGUCCAAAGUGUUCUCUGGGAGUUGUAGUUCCUCUAUUGGUGAGGCAAGGAGGAGGCGGAGUGACUCGGCGGCCAUUAGCUGUGUGUAGUUGCCCGGGACUAGGAGCUUAAGUGAAGAGGGACGCCUUAUUCGGUGGAAAUCAGCCGUAGCCAUGAGCUUCUGCCGCGGCUAGCCCUAGAGUACGGAGCAGGCGGACUUUUCGAUUCCCCGCCCCGCCAGGUGGCGGGGCCUACUAGGCCUCCGGGCAUCCCCGGUCUCAAGUAGGCCUCAUCUGCCGGCAAGGGCGCCCCAAACGCGGGAGGCGCCAUGUCGCUGGUUGCUUACGCCAGCAGCGAUGAGAGCGAGCCGGAUGAGGCUGAGCCCGAGCCGGAGGAAGAGGAGGCGGUGGCCCCUACAUCUGGGCCCGCUUUAGGGGGCUUGUUCGCUUCUCUCCCUGCGCCCAAGGGCCCGGCCUUGCUGCCUCCGCCCCCUCAGAUGCUGGCCCCAGCGUUUCCCCCGCCGCUGUUGCUUCCCCCACCCACCGCAGACCCCAGGCUUCAGCCUCCUCCCCCCUUGCCCUUCGGCCUGGGAGGCUUCCCCCCACCUCCAGGCGUGAGCCCGGCUGAAGCGGCGGGAGUUGGGGAGGGACUGGGAUUGGGGUUGCCCUCGCCCCGAGGCCCUGGCCUCAGUCUGCCCCCUCCAAUUGGCGGUGCCGGCCCCCCGCUGGGGCUUCCCAAGCCAAAGAAGAGGAAAGAGCCCGUGAAGAUCGCGGCGCCGGAGUUGCAUAAGGGAGAUUCAGAUUCUGAGGAAGAUGAACCCACAAAGAAGAAAACUAUCCUUCAGGGAUCCGGCGAGGGGACUGGUUUGUCUGCCUUGCUUCCCCAACCUAAAAACCUGACUGUGAAAGAGACUAACAGGUUGCUCCUGCCCCAUGCCUUCUCCCGCAAACCCUCGGAUGGCUCCCCUGAUACUAAGCCCUCCAGACUGGCUUCUAAGACCAAGACUUCCUCUCUUGCCCCUGUUGUGGGCACCACAACCACCACUCCGUCGCCCUCUGCUAUCAAGGCUGCUGCCAAGAGUGCUGCCCUGCAGGUGACAAAGCAGAUCACGCAGGAGGAAGACGACAGUGAUGAGGAAGUAGCCCCCGAAAACUUUUUCUCCCUCCCUGAAAAGGCCGAGCCACCUGGAGUUGAGCCAUACCCUUACCCCAUCCCCACUGUCCCUGAAGAGCUGCCUCCAGGCACGGAACCAGAGCCGGCUUUCCAGGACGAUGCAGCCAAUGCCCCCCUUGAAUUCAAGAUGGCAGCAGGCUCAAGUGGGGCCCCUUGGAUGCCUAAGCCUGGGGAUGACUACAGCUACAAUCAGUUUUCCACGUAUGGCGAUGCCAAUGCUGCUGGUGCUUAUUAUCAGUUGGUGUGUUUUUCUUUCCUGUUUGGCUGCAGGAUUAUUACAGUGGUGGCUACUAUCCUGCACAGGACCCGGCCCUGGUCCCACCCCAGGAAAUUGCCCCAGAUGCCUCCUUCAUCGAUGACGAAGCAUUUAAGCGGCUGCAGGGCAAGAGAAACCGAGGGAGAGAAGAAAUCAACUUUGUGGAGAUUAAAGGUGAUGACCAGCUCAGUGGGGCCCAGCAAUGGAUGACUAAGUCAUUGACAGAAGAGAAAACCAUGAAGUCAUUCAGCAAAAAGAAAGGUGAGCAGCCAACAGGCCAGCAGCGGCGGAAACACCAGAUCACAUAUCUUAUUCAUCAGGCCAAGGAGCGGGAGCUGGAACUGAAGAACACCUGGUCGGAGAACAAGCUCAGCCGCCGUCAGACCCAAGCCAAAUAUGGAUUCUAGGGCUCUGGAACUGAUUGCUCCCAGGAUCUCCUGCCAGCCCAGCUGGCCUGGCCCCCAGCUUCACCUCUGGGACCCCAGCAGCUGCUCUAAGCCCAGGAUCUCUUUCCCCAAGGACCCAGCCCUCGCCUCUGCGAGAAUGAACACAUUUGAUAGAUUUUUCUUAACAAGUUAGAAAAUUCAGCUCCUGUCUGUCCUGGAGCUAGCAAAGACUUGUGUGAUGCCUCUGAAGGGGCUCUGAGUUCUGGGAUGGGAGUUUUGCUCCCUGUCAGGUGUGAUGAAAUGUUGAACCCUCCCCACCACCACUUUUUUUUUUUUUUUAAACCAGGGAUGUCUGUUGAAAUAAAACAUUCAGUCUGACAAACA